rnacentral:rRNA from 1 species
UAGUCUGGGAUACCACUUGGAAACAGGUGCUAAUACCGGAUAAGAAAGCGGAUCGCAUGAUCAGCUUUUAAAAGGCGGCGUAAGCUGUCGCUAUGGGAUGGCCCCGCGGUGCAUUAGCUAGUUGGUAAGGUAAAGGCUUACCAAGGCGAUGAUGCAUAGCCGAGUUGAGAGACUGAUCGGCCACAUUGGGACUGAGACACGGCCCAAACUCCUACGGGAGGCAGCAGC